rnacentral:rRNA from 1 species
UACGGGGGGAGCAAGCGUUGUUCGGAUUUACUGGGCGUAAAGGGCGCGUAGGCGGCCACCGCAAGUCGACUGUGAAAUCUCCGGGCUUAACCCGGAAAGGUCAGCCGAUACUGCGGGGCUAGAGUGCAGAAGGGGCAACUGGAAUUCUCGGUGUAGCGGUGAAAUGCGUAGAUAUCGAGAGGAACACCUGCGGCGAAGGCGGCCUUCUGGACCAAUACUGACGCUCAUGCACGAAAGCGUGGGGAGCAAACAGG